rfam:Candidatus Wildermuthbacteria bacterium RIFCSPHIGHO2_01_FTLL_49_22b rifcsphigho2_01_scaffold_2749, whole genome shotgun sequence.
GUCCUCGUAGUUCAACGGAUAGAACAUUGGCCUCCGGAGCCAAAGAUUGUGCGUUCGAGUCGCACCGGGGACA